rnacentral:rRNA from 1 species
GAUGAACGCUGGCGGCGUGCCUAAUACAUGCAAGUCGAGCGAACAGACGAGGAGCUUGCUCCUCUGACGUUAGCGGCGGACGGGUGAGUCACACGUGGAUAACCUACCUAUAAGACUGGGAUAACUUCGGGAAACCGGAGCUAAUACCGGAUAAUAUAUUGAACCGCAUGGUUCAAUAGUGAAAGACGGUUUUGCUGUCCCUUAUAGAUGGAUCCGCGCCGCAUUAGCUAGUUGGUAAGGUAACGGCCUACCAAGGCGACGAUGCGUAGCCGACCUGAGAGGGUGAUCGGCCACACUGGAACUGAGACACGGUCCAGACUCCUACGGGAGGCAGCAGUAGGGAAUCUUCCGCAAUGGGCGAAAGCCUGACGGAGCAACGCCGCGUGAGUGAUGAAGGUCUUCGGAUCGUAAAACUCUGUUAUUAGGGAAGAACAAAUGUGUAAGUAACUAUGCACGUCUUGACGGUACCUAAUCAGAAAGCCACGGCUAACUACGUG